UGGCCCCUGCGUUGUUGGUGAUAUGAUGGAAUUUUUUAGCCAACAAGAAGAUAAAGGGAGCUUUGCCCUAGAAAUGGUGUGCAAGCCCUGCAAUGACAGGGAAGCCUGAAGUUUCUAUCAAGGCGCCCACCUGGUUUUACCAGGUUAAAAAAUUCUGUCUACACGGCAACAGCGGGGGCUAA
rnacentral:other from 1 species